AUUGAACGCUGGCGGCAUGCCUAACACAUGCAAGUCGAGCGAGCGGCGGACGGGUGAGUAAUGUAUGGGGACUGCCCGAUAGAGGGGGAUAACUACUGGAAACGGUGGCUAAUACCGCAUACUAUCGGAUAACCCAUAUGGGAUUCGCUAGUAGGUGGGGUAAAGGCUCACCUAGGCGACGAUCGCUAGCUGGUCUGAGAGGAUGAUCGGCCACACUGGGACUGAGACACGGCCCAGACGCCUACGGAGGCAGCAGGGGGGAAGAUUGGACAAUGGGGGAAAGCCUGAUGCAGCCAGGCCGCGUGUAUGAAGAAGGCCUUAGGGUGGUAAAGUACUUUCAGCGGGGAGGCGUUACCCGCAGAAGAAGCCCCGGCUAACUACGUGCCAGCAGCCGCGGUAAUAC
rnacentral:rRNA from 1 species